UGGAGACUGUUCCUCCUAUUGCCCUCAUGCCUGGCACUAGGAUUUUGGGUCAUCAUAAGUUAAAAUUAGAUUUUCUUCACUCAGAGGAUAUAAGGAUAAUGGGAUUAUCUGUCUGUGCUGAGAUUUGCAGAACCAAAGACUU
rnacentral:snoRNA from 1 species